AGAUGUUUUUAUAUAUAUAUCCUUUUGCAAUGGAAAUUUUUUCCUUUUUGUAUCAAUAAAAUCUCGUUAUGCAAUCAUUUUUUGAACCUCUUUUUCAUCAUAAGAUUACGAAUUUAUUUAUCAGGCCAUGUCCAAUGCAUCAGCAGGUUUGAACUUAAAAUGUUAUAUUUGAGUCCAAAUAACAAUCUUUUUCACUACAAUGCAGUGGAAAGUUAAAACCUAUAUAAAAAUUUUAGUCAAUUUAAAACUAAUAUUUGAGUUUCAUCUAAGGUGGAGCUCAUACCUACAAGGAAAAAUGUUAUUUCAACAAGAAGAACAACAUUUGCGUUUUGGAACCAACCAUCUCCCAAUCCACAUUCUCAAAUUUGAGUUCUAAAUCCAACAUUUUCUCCUCAAAUGCACAUACUUAAUGUUAUAAGUCAAAUUUGAGUUUAAAAUUUUGCCUUUGAGAUAGCCUUAGCCGUGCAUAAUAAACCAUUUCAGAAAGAAGAGGCUCAUCACAUAAAACAUUACUAAAUCCUAGCUUUAUUUUAUUUUACGACUUACACAAAUAUUAAGCAUACAAGGUCGAAUUUUAACAUUAAUUACAUAAAAGGUUUAGAACAUUCAUCAUUAAUUACAUAAAUAUUAAGCAUACAAGGUCGAAUUUUUAACAGAGCCAUCAAAAUUCAUCUCGACGAACGGUGGUUUGGGAACAUUUAUGAUUUUUUUCUAGUAAGUAGAAUGGCAAUGUACAAGUUUUUAAGUUGCCUAUAGAUCAUUUCCUCCUCCUGCACUUGAUUUUGUAUAGUGGUUAGGUCCACGUACGGAGCCACCUUAGGCUCAGAGGGGGCGGAUGCCCCCACUCAUUUUUGUGUGUGGGAAAAAAAAAGUAGUCUUUCAAUUGUUCGUGGCAUUAAUAUUAACUUUUUCAUGUGCUAUUUUUAUUGUUGAAAGAGCAUUUUCGGUCAUAAAAUUUAUGAAAAUCGAUAAUGAAAUUGUAUGAGAGACUAAUGGAAAAAUGAUAACAUGGUUAUUUUUGUAGAAAGAGAUGUUUGAUGGUAUUGGUAAUAAGGUUGUUAUGUAACGCUUUCAAAACAUAAAAACACAUCGAUGGAUAUUGUGAUAUGUUGUAUGAAAAAUUUUAUGGACUAAUAUAUAAGUGUUUUGUUUAGUAUAUCCUUGAACUUUUUAAUUUGUGAUUUUGUUGUUUAAAGAUGCCCCAUCCAUGUAGAUUUCUGGCUUCGUCCUUGGUUAGGUCCAUAUUAAAUAUGUAUCGUUGUGUCAAUUUUGUUUACUGUUUUUGUAGGGUUGAAUUUGAUUUGUCAUCUAACUUAUUGGAAAUAUAUUAAUUUUCAUUGUAUUUAGUUUAUAGCAUUAUUCUUCAAAUGGGUUUGUUUCCUUGUUUGCUUACUAGCAUUAGACGAGCAGAUUCUGGCUUUGAAACAACGACAUUGAUGCUUUUUACUCCUUUUCACACAAUAAGUGCAUGAAAAUUAUGUAGACAUUGAAAUUUGAAGUGUGAAGUGAUGAAAAGAAGGUGUGUUUCUAACUCAAACAUACAUAUUUUUUGGGUUGCAUAUGAAAAAAGGAUUUAUAUGGCACGAAUACACUAUUAUCAUGACAUUCUAUGACAAUAAUAUAACAAUAUGUCUGAGUUUCUCUUUACAACGUCGUAUCAUGUACAAAUAAAACCACAAUAACUUUGUAACUGCGUCAUGUAAACUACUCUCAUAUAUAUGAUUGCAUGCUCUGCCUUUCCUUUCGAAAAGGAAAACGAACAGUAUUUGAUAAAUGAUAUUCAAGCAUACUUGUCCACAAGUCCCAGUCGGUAAGUAUACAACAAGAAGAAUGUAAAUUAUUGUCACACAAAAAGGGAUCCAAAAGUUUCAAGAAAAUUUGACCCCAAACGUAAUACUUUCGCCUUUUUCAAUGAGGGAAAUAAAAAAAAUACGAUAAUUUUUUUUGGCUUUCCCCAUCUAAAUAGUAUUUAGUAGAGGUGGCAAAUCAACAUUUUGAGUUGUUAAUAAGUAACUAUUAACACCUGUUUAGUUUAAUUUCACGUUACAUCAUUAGGACCACUACCAAUCACAUUUAUAUAUUACGAUGAUAUCAAAUUAAACAGAUGUUAACAGAUAUUUGUUAACAACCUAAUAGGCUGAUUUGCCACCUUAGUAUCUCAUAUAGAAAAAUAGCAUUUUAGUAUAUAUGAAGAUUAUUUACACUUAAUUUUCAUAGUGUUCUUGUACAAAAAAGCUUUAUUGUCUAUUUAUUAGAUUAUCUUCGAGAUAUAUUUUGUUCAUAACUGCAACAUAUAUGAUUUGAUCAGUGAUCCGUGAAUGAUUUACAUAUCAUCAAAUUUUAGGACAAGAAAUUGCAAAGAGUUUAGAUGAGAUAUAGAAAAAGGAGACUAAUAUUUUAUAUCUAUUUAGAAUUUUAACUUGCUCAAUGAGUCAAUGGUCAUGGUCUUCUGUUUUAGAGCAAUAAUAACAUCGAAGGUUUAAGUGGUGGAUUGACUUGGUAGUUAAGGUCUUUUAUUUUAUUUUACUGUGCUUUGGGUUCAAACUUACCCUCAUUCUUAUUCCUUAGAGCAUUUCCAAUAAAAGAUGCGAAAUAUCUUGAAAUUAGCAUUUUGCAUUUCUUGUUGACUGGAAAGCUUUCUAGUGCUGGUAUGUAAAAUACUCAUCUUCAUCGGAAGAUGUUAAUAACAAUAUAUAUUUACAUCUUCAAGAGGUGGACUCCUCUAGUUCAAGAGAGAAAAGUAACUGAGACCCCGAAUCUACAUAUCUCAUAUUCAAGCAUAACUCAUAAUUACAUCUCCCAAAAAACGUAAAAUGAGAUAUAAAUGUGGCUUUUACAACUAUACGUCCAUAAUCUGCCCUUAUGUUUUCAAGAUGACAAUGUUGAAAAAGUAAAAAAGAAGACGACGAGUGGUACUUAAUAAAGAUUCACCUAGAGUGUGUGUGUAUUUUCAUAUAGUUUGUUUACCAUUAUCUUUGGAACUAAUAGUUUUUAUUUUAUUUUAAAAAGAUUAAAAAAAUAAUUGGUUACUAAAAUUUGAUUUUACCCAUCUUUUACAAAUAGUUUAAAGGUAAUCAAAAUUUUAUUUUAUUUUAAAAAGAUUAAAAAAAUAAUUGGUUACUAAAAUUUGAUUUUACCCAUCUUUUACAAAUAGUUCGAUUUUGGAAAUUUUUCGGUUUGGUUUGAAAUUAUUGGUAUUUUUUUCCAGCCCUAAAAAUCAUAAUCUAAAAAAAGUUGUACUCUCUCACCAUUCUCAAUUAAAUAACAAAUAUGAGGUCAGUAGGAUGCACUUGUCAAAAAAUAAAAGUAACAUACACUUGUCAAAUCAUAAUUUUGAAAAAAGACAAAUAGUACUUAACUCAAGAACUCUCUAGAAAACAGCUCUUUAGUUUUUGUUUAUUUCUUUAUCAGAAGAUGAAAAUCGACUAUUAAAGUAGAAAAUUAUAAGUUCUCAAAAUUUUAUUUUACCUUGUAAAUCAUCCUUUUACGUUAUUUAAUUUUUUUUUCUUCUUUUUGUUUUGGGGGUUUUUUGGCUGCCCAACCAACGUUCUAAUAGCUACUUAUGUUAUUCGUCGUUACUGUUCAUGAGAUUUGAGUUUCGAACAUCCUAGAGAAGAAUUAGAUAUAUCAUCAUAUAUACGAAAACUCAGUUUCCCCCGGCAAUGUUCACCAGCAGUGAAAGGGCGAUAUUGCCCUCGGUUUCUUCUUUGCUCCGCGUACUGUUUCCUAUUUUCUACAGUGCAAAGUCGGUUAUGCCCUUCCCAACCACGCGUCUUUCAUCGUUUGUUUCUCUGCUUCGGCCGCGUCUUUUUUGCUUUACCCUUCCUCUUCGUUUUUCACUUCAUGAGUCUCUGAUUUUCUCCCACUUCGUCAGCCCGUCGUUUGCUCUCAAAUCCUUUCUUUAUCUUUCACAAAAUUGUCUCAAAAGAGAUCCAGCGUUUGAUUUUCUUUGGGAUUUAGUUUCCAGUCUCUAAUUUGUUUGGUUAGCAAUAGAAUAAUCGAAUGAGAUUGAUCUCAAGCUAUGAUUGAAAAACAUGUACAAUGCUAUUUAUCUAUAAUUUUCUGAUUAGUGCCAAACAUAAUCACUGUCUUAUUUUUGUAUAUGCAGGAUGAAAAAGAUAUUCUUUGCAAGCAUCACACAAAGGCCAUCAUUUAUUCCGUAUGAAAACCACAUGUUAAUUCAGUUUUAAUUGGUUUUUCAUUUAUUUAAAAUAAAACAUCUCAAAUAAUAUAUCCAUAUCUGCAUUCACUCUGUCACAAUGUUUGUUCUAGCGUCUAUUUGUGUUUUUCAGGUUUUCCAUUACACUACAAUAUCGGUAUUUGAUUUUCGUAUUUGAUGAACUGUUGACCUCCCAUUGGUCAAAUUGUCUAGGAGCUUCCAUAGGACCUGCUCUGUGCUGUUCCUUCGUGGUAACCUCCAUUGGGGAUGAAAAAACUGCAGACCACAAUGUAGCUUCCAUAGGACCUCUGUACUAUACAGAAACAGCGAACUAAACGUAUCUGAUCCAUUUUUGUAUACCGUUUCCUUCUAUUAACAAUGUUAUUAUUCAAUUUGAUUAAACAAUGCUUUGGUUAUAGAUCAAAUUAUUUUUCCAAAGAUGGAUCGGUAUAAGAUUUUCGAUUAGAACCAACAUGAUUACAUUAGUGAUAAGACAGAAACUAUGCAAUUACUAUUUGCUAAAUAUAUGAGGUUCCUAAGGAAAAAUGCUAAAGCAUAUUGUUAGCCUAGAUUUAUAUUUCUUAUUACUUUCGUGCAAUGUUUGAUUCCUAACUUACCAGUUCUGAAAACAAUUUUAUACAUACAAAUUUAUUCCUGCUUACUGUUAUUUUACAGCAUAACCAGUUUUGUGUAAAGCAUUGCCUCCAAUCAUCAUUCAUUUCAAGGUACACCAUUCUAGCACCAUCUUUUAUUUGCUUUGAUAAAAUUAUUUGUCAGCUGUUUAACUUAUUAACAAGAACAAUAUUAUUUUUACCCUUAGUUAACUAUUAAAUACCUAAACACUUUCAUCCGUGAUAACUGUCAAUUUACACACUUAACAACCUUCACAAACUCACGUUUGAAUCAACAUUUUUUUACACCCCACAACACAAAUUUAGCCUUUGCAUUACAAAUACAUUGUUUCUUACAAUUGCUCCAUUGCCAAAACAAAGCUGAACCAUCGGUUAUUUCUAUAUUUUUAUUCAUUCCUGUAAAUACGAUGAAUUCACAUACAUGUUUGUAAAACUUUAUGCAAAUUUUAUGCAUACACUUUUAAAACCCGCAGCAACGCGCGGGCACAAUUACUAGUAUGCUACUAAAUAUGACUGUUGACGAAUAGGCAGAUAGGGGUAGAAAUGUACAUUCUUGUUAGAGAUCUGUGAGCUAUGAAUGUUAUAAGAUUUGAUGUACUUAUAAUUAUCUGAAAAACAUGUAUAAUUUUGAGACAAAUAUUAGCAUUUUUAUGAAAUUUCCUAGCCGGUUUCCUAGUUGGUAAACUAAAACUAAUAGAACAAUUUUUGUUUAUUAAAAAAGAAAUUUCUUAAAAAGGAAUAUAUCAAUAUGUAAAUCAUGGCAAAACCUUUAAUUAUCUCAUUGUCUGUUAAUAAUAGUGUUAAUGCGUGGACCUUUUAGACCCAUUACAAUAAUGUAUAGUUGUUUGGACAUGAUAGAUGGGUCUUGAAAGAGCCACAAAAGGAUGAAAGGAUUAAGACAUUAGGCUUAUAAGCCGACCCAAAAAAUUCAGCAGACAUAGUCCUAUCACUAGGGAUGGGCAAUGGUUAUGGUGGACGGG
rnacentral:lncRNA from 1 species